rnacentral:rRNA from 1 species
GCCGCGGUUAUUUUGACCGUGCGAAGGUAGCGCAAUCACUUGUCUUUUAAAUGAAGACCUGUAUGAAUGGCAUAACGAGGGCUUAACUGUCUCCUCUUUCCAGUCAAUGAAAUUGAUCUUCCCGUGCAGAAGCGGGAAUGAAACCAUAAGACGAGAAGACCCUAUGGAGCUUUAGACACCAAGGCCGAUCAUGUUAAUAACCCUGAUUAAAGGACCAAACCAGAUGGAACCUGCCCUAAUGUCUUUGGUUGGGGCGACCGCGGGGAAUUAAAAAACCCCCACGUGGAAUGGGAGCACCCCUCCUACAGCUAAGAGCCACAGCUCUAGUAAACAGAAAUUCUGACCAGUAAGAUCCGGCAAUGCCGAUCAACGGACCGAGUUACCCAUAAGAGGAUAACAGCGCAAUCCUC